GUAGGCUUUCAAAGCGCGCUGGCAAAGCAUUGAACGCACGCAAUCGUCCGUCGUAAAGCGCACGAUCCCCACCAUUUCAUCUUCCUCAAAACGCGCCAGCGCAUCGGCCAGACCCGACCGCACGCCUGAAGGUAAAUCGCACUGGGUGAUGUCGCCGUUGACGAUAACCGUCACGUUCUCCCCGAGGCGGGU
rnacentral:antisense_RNA from 1 species